rnacentral:lncRNA from 1 species
UAAAUUCAUCACAAAUUGACGAAUUUUGUCAUAAAAUCAUCACAAAUCCUUCAUAAUUAAUAUUCUUUCACAAAUCUACGUCUUUUGGUAGUAAAGUUAUUGAGAGGGCUUGUUAUAAUUUUGUAUUUUUGGUUCAAUUUUUCGUUUCUUUUCUUAAUAUUUCAAUCAAAUAAACUUCAGAAUAUGCUAUUGCCUAGCUUCUAUAAAUUCAUUCCCUUUUAACUUCCUUCAACGCAGGUGAUUAAUUCAGUUAACAACUAUGGCUGUUAUUAUUUCAGUGAAGAUCCUACUUAUACAACUUUUCGUUCUAGUACUUGGCUCAUUCUCAAAGAUCAGCCAUGGGGAGCUGUCGCUGGAAUUCCCAUUGCCUUUCGAAUUGCCACCAGCGGAGAUCCCAUUGCCGGAGAUCCCAUUGCCUUUCGAUGGGCCUACAUUCGUGCUACCGCCACCAUCACCACCACCACCUCCACCGUCACCAUUGCCAUCACCACCUCCGCCAUCUCCAUCACCACCUCCUCCUUCGACAUUAAUACCACUUAUUCCUCCUUUUACCGGCGGUUUUUUGCCUCCUUUGCCCGGCUCUAAGCUUCCUGGCCUUUUGCCUCUGAUUCCCAACUUACCUGAUUUGCCUCCCAUAGGUGGUGGUCCACCUGUUAACCGGCCAAAGCCGUCGUCACCAUCACCCCCAGUUAAGCCGCCACCACCACCACCUUCACCAUGUAAGCCAUCACCACCUGAUCAGUCUACAAAGCAACCACCACCACCUCCGCCAUCAAAACAACCACCACCUCCACCACCAGUUAAGGCAUCAUCUCCAUCUCCAGCAAAGCAACCACCACCUCCUCCACCGCCAGUUAAGUCACCAUCUCCAUCUCCAGCAAAGCAAUCACCACCACCUCCUCGGGCACCAUCUCCAUCACCAGCUACUCAGCCACCUAUAAAGCAACCGCCACCACCAAGUGCUAAGAAAUCUCCUCCGCCACCAGUUGCUUAUCCACCAGUUAUGGCACCAUCUCCAUCACCGGCUGCUGAGCCACCUAUUAUAGCACCAUUUCCAUCACCAACAGCGAAUCUACCCCUUAUUCCCCGUCGACCAGCACCACCAGUAGUUAAGCCGCUUCCACCUUUGGGGAAGCCCCCUAUCGUCAAUGGCCUUGUUUAUUGUAAAUCCUGCAACAGCUAUGGG